rnacentral:rRNA from 1 species
GGGGAAUAUUGCGCAAUGGGGGCAACCCUGACGCAGCCAUGCCGCGUGAAUGAAGAAGGCCUUCGGGUUGUAAAGUUCUUUCGGUAUUGAGGAAGGUUGAUGUGUUAAUAGUACAUCAAAUUGACGUUAAAUACAGAAGAAGCACCGGCUAACUCCGUGCCAGCAGCCGCAGUAAUACGGAGGGUGCGAGCGUUAAUCGGAAUAACUGGGCGUAAAGGGCACGCAGGCGGUUAUUUAAGUGAGGUGUGAAAGCCCCGGGCUUAACCUGGGAAUUGCAUUUCAGACUGGGUAACUAGAGUACUUUAGGGAGGGGUAGAAUUCCACGUGUAGCGGUGAAAUGCGUAGAGAUGUGGAGGAAUACCGAAGGCGAAGGCAGCCCCUUGGGAAUGUACUGACGCUCAUGUGCGAAAGCGUGGGGAGCAAACAGGAUUAGAUACCCUGGUAGUCCACGCUGUAAACGCUGUCGAUUUGGGGGUUGGGGUUUAACUCUGGCGCCCGUAGCUAACGUGAUAAAUCGACCGCCUGGGGAGUACGGCCGCAAGGUUA